AUAUGUACGCUAGCGGGAUGCCUUACACAUGCAAGUCGAACGGCAGCACGGACUUCGGUCUGGUGGCGAGUGGCGAACGGGUGAGUAAUGUAUCGGAACGUGCCUAGUAGCGGGGGAUAACUACGCGAAAGCGUAGCUAAUACCGCAUACGCCCUACGGGGGAAAGCAGGGGAUCGCAAGACCUUGCACUAUUAGAGCGGCCGAUAUCGGAUUAGCUAGUUGGUGGGGUAACGGCUCACCAAGGCGACGAUCCGUAGCUGGUUUGAGAGGACGACCAGCCACACUGGGACUGAGACACGGCCCAGACUCCUACGGGAGGCAGCAGUGGGGAAUUUUGGACAAUGGGGGAAACCCUGAUCCAGCCAUCCCGCGUGUGCGAUGAAGGCCUUCGGGUUGUAAAGCACUUUUGGCAGGAAAGAAACGUCAUGGGCUAAUACCCCGUGAAACUGACGGUACCUGCAGAAUAAGCACCGGCUAACUACGUGCCAGCAGCCGCGUANAUACGG
rnacentral:rRNA from 1 species